AUCUGCUUUAUAUGUUAAAAUACAUACAAUUUUGGGCGGAGAAUACGAAAUGAUGUGGAUCUGUUUAUACCUACUGGUCUGUGGAUACAGCCCCCCCGACUGUUACGCAACUCCACGCCGAGCUCUAGCCACGUAUUUGGGUAUAAACCACAGCAACCAUGCUACUCCUCUAGGAACCGCAGUCAAAAACACCAGGAAGGAACAAAGUUUCGCUGACGCCUGCCUGCCCGUAGUACCACGGCCGAUCUGCUUAACAUUUCUGUCCCACGCCAACAAAUGGGUCAACUCUUACUCCAUUCGAGGCGCGUCGUACCAGACCAGGCUGCUUCUGGUUUAGCUCAUGGCUUGGUACAAGUAUCUUACCACUGAUUGGGCCUUUCGCAGAUGCUUGGUAAAUGCCAAUGCUUGGACAAUCACUCACGGCUACCACGCAGAUUUCACGUACUGUGCCGAGUCGGUUAGUGGAAUGACUUCCGAAUUACGCAAGUUAUUCUACAUUGAGCAGACGAGGCAUGGACUCAACUCAUCUUCCUCUUCUCAAUGUUUUCUUCUGCCUGUACAUAUGCCUCUCCGCAAAUUUAAGUAAUAAAUUAAUAAAUAACUUUUUG